rnacentral:rRNA from 1 species
AUUGAACGCUGGCGGAAUGCUUUACACAUGCAAGUCGAGCGGCAGCGCGGGGGCAACCCUGGUGGCGAGUGGCGAACGGGUGAGUAAUACAUCGGAACGUACCCUGAAGUGGGGGAUAACGUAGCGAAAGUUACGCUAAUACCGCAUAUUCUGUGAGCAGGAAAGAGGGGGAUCGCAAGACCUCUUGCUUUAGGAGCGGCCGAUGUCGGAUUAGCUAGUUGGUGAGGUAAAGGCUCACCAAGGCGACGAUCCGUAGCGGGUCUGAGAGGAUGAUCCGCCACACUGGGACUGAGACACGGCCCAGACUCCUACGGGAGGCAGCAGUGGGGAAUUUUGGACAAUGGGCGCAAGCCUGAUCCAGCCAUGCCGCGUGAGUGAAGAAGGCC